rnacentral:rRNA from 1 species
GACGGAGGAUGCAAGCGUUAUCCGGAAUGAUUGGGCGUAAAGCGUCCGCAGGUGGCAGUUCAAGUCUGCUGUCAAAGACCGGGGCUUAACUUCGGAAAGGCAGUGGAAACUGAACAGCUAGAGUAUGGUAGGGGCAGAGGGAAUUCCUGGUGUAGCGGUGAAAUGCGUAGAGAUCAGGAAGAACAUCGGUGGCGAAGGCGCUCUGCUGGACCAUAACUGACACUCAGGGACGAAAGCUAGGGAGCGAAUGGG